rnacentral:rRNA from 1 species
GAUGAACGCUGGCGGCGUGCCUAAUACAUGCAAGUCGAGCGAACAGACGAGGAUCUUGCUCCUCUGACGUUAGCGGCGGACGGGUGAGUAACACGUGGAUAACCUACCUAUAAGACUGGGAUAACUUCGGGAAACCGGAGCUAAUACCGGAUAAUAUAUUGAACCGCAUGGUUCAAUAGUGAAAUACGGUUUUGCUGUCACUUAUAGAUGGAUCCGCGCCGCAUUAGCUAGUUGGUAAGGUAACGGCUUACCAAGGCAACGAUGCGUAGCCGACCUGAGAGGGGGAUCGGCGACACUGGAACUGAGACACGGUCCAGAGUCCUACGGGAGGCAGCAGUAGGGAAUCGUGCGCAAUGGGCGAAAGCCUGACGGAGCAACGCCGCGUGAGUGAUGAAGGUCUUCGGAUCGUAAAACUCUGUUAUUGGGGAAGAACAAAUGUGUAAGUAACUAUGCACGUCUUGACGGUACCUAAUCAGAAAGCAACGGCUAACUACGUG